AACGUAGGAGACAAACGUUAUCCGGAGUUACUGGGCGUAAAGGGCGUGUAGGCGGUCUGUUAAGUCUGGCGUGAAAGCUCUCGGCUAAACCGGGAGAGGUCGUUGGAUACUGGCAGACUAGAGGACGGUAGAGGCGUGUGGAAUUCCGGGUGUAGUGGUGAAAUGCGUAGAGAUCCGGAGGAACACCGAAGGCGAAGGCAGUCUCCUGGCAAGUUCCUGACGCUCAGGUGCGAAAGCUAGGGGAGCGAACAGG
rnacentral:rRNA from 1 species